UUUGUCUCAGCAAGGAAACCAAGACUAGCCUAGCCACCGAUCUCCUCUCCUGGUUCCAAGCACCACUUGGUCACCAAGGUCAGAGACCUACAUUUUGGCAAGGAGAUGGAUCAGCAGGUGAUAUAAGCAACAAGGACCUCUGAGGAGACCGACACCAGUCAAGCUGCCUAGAAGAGAUACUCUGCAACCUGUCCAGUUGUCUGUAAGAUGGCAACUUCAGGGCUCUAGCUAUCAUGAGCCUGUGCCCAUGCUGGGAUGGCAGCUCCCAUAUGCUGGCAUCCAUGCUGGGAUAGGCUUUUGGUGAUACAACUGUCUUUGAACUUGGUUCUGCUGUGAGUGACCUCUCAUCCUCCUGUAAGUAACCUCAAUAAACUCAUUAGUUUGUCACAUUG